rnacentral:rRNA from 1 species
GAUGAACGCUGGCGGCGUGCCUAAUACAUGCAAGUCGAGCGAACAGACGAGGAGCUUGCUCCUUUGACGUUAGCGGCGGACGGGUGAGUAACACGUGGGUAACCUACCUAUAAGACUGGGAUAACUUCGGGAAACCGGAGCUAAUACCGGAUAAUAUUUCGAACCGCAUGGUUCGAUAGUGAAAGAUGGCUUUGCUAUCACUUAUAGAUGGACCUGCGCCGUAUUAGCUAGUUGGUAAGGUAACGGCCUACCAAGGCAACGAUACGUAGCCGACCUGAGAGGGUGAUCGGCCACACUGGAACUGAGACACGGUCCAGACUCCUACGGGAGGCAGCAGUAGGGAAUCUUGCGCAAUGGGCGAAAGCCUGACGGAGCAACGCCGCGUGAGUGAUGAAGGUCUUCGGAUCGUAAAACUCUGUUAUUAGGGAAGAACAAACGUGUAAGUAACUGUGCACGUCUUGACGGUACCUAAUCAGAAAGCCACGGCUAACUACGUG